rnacentral:rRNA from 1 species
CUACGGGUUGCACCAGUAAGGAAUAUUGCGCAAUGGAGGCAACUCUGACGCAGCCAUGCCGCGUGCAGGAAGAAGGCCUUAUGGGUCGUAAACUGCUUUUAUUUAGGAAUAAACCCCCGAACGUGUUCGGGGCUGAAGGUACUAAACGAAUAAGCACCGGCUAACUCCGUGCCAGCAGCCGCGGUAAUACGGAGGGUGCAAGCGUUAUCCGGAUUUAUUGGGUUUAAAGGGUGCGCAGGCGGGCUAUUAAGUCGGUGGUGAAAUCCCGGGGCUCAACUCCGGAACUGCCAUUGAUACUGGUAUUCUUGAGUUUGGUUGAAGUGGGCGGAAUGUAGCAUGUAGCGGUGAAAUGCAUAGAUAUGCUACAGAACACCAAUCGCGAAGGCAGCUCACUAAGCCAAAACUGACGCUCAUGCACGAAAGCGUGGGGAUCAAACAGGAUUAGAUACCCUGGUAGUC